AGGGACAUCGGAGAACUAGUCAAAUUUUGAGUAGCUAUUAUCAAGAUGAUUAGAUUAGCCAAUUAUAACCUGUUAAAUUACACGAAUUGUGGAAGAAUUAUUCGUAUUGUCAGUGCGUACUGUUGGGCUAAACUCGCCCAAAUACACUCUUAACAUGGUGUGAUAUUUUUCGCUUUGGGCUAAGUCCGUAUGGUUUUUCCCAAAAGGCCUCACACCAUUAAG
rnacentral:lncRNA from 1 species